UCCGGUUUGUCACCGGCAGUCUCGCGUGAGUCCCCAACUUAAUGCUGGCAACACGCGACAAGGGUUGCGCUCGUUGCGGGACUUAACCCAACAUCUCACGACACGAGCUGACGACAACCAUGCACCACCUGUACACCGCCCUUGCGGACCCCGCAUCUCUACGAGUUUUCGGUGUAUGUCAAGCCUUGGUAAGGUUCUUCGCGUUGCGUCGAAUUAAGCCACAUGAUCCACCGCUUGUGCGGGCCCCCGUCAAUUCCUUUGAGUUUCACCCUUGCGGGCGUACUCCCCAGGUGGAUUACUUAACGCUUUCGCUAAGACGCUGACGGUGUGUCGCCAACAUCGAGUAAUCAUCGUUUACAGCGUGGACUAC
rnacentral:misc_RNA from 1 species